rnacentral:rRNA from 1 species
CCAAGCGCCCUUCUGGGCGUCCAGUGCUGAACCAGAACAACUCAGCUGAUCGCACGGUCUUGCACCGGCGACGUGUCUUUCAAGUGUCUGCCUUAUCAACUUUCGAUGGUAGUGUACCUGACUACCAUGGUUGUGACGGGUAACGGAGGAUAAGGGUUCGACUCCGGAGAAGGGGCCUGAGAAAUGGCCACUACGUCUAAGGAUGGCAGCAGGCGCGCAAAUUACCCACUCUCAACGCGAGGAGGUAGUGACGAGAAAUAACAAGACCGUUCUCAUACGAGGCCGGUUAUUGGAAUGGGUACAAUUUAAACCCUUUAACGAGUAUCUAUGAGAGGGCAAGUCUGGUGCCAGCAGCCGCGGUAAUUCCAGCUCUCAAAAUGCAUAGAAUUAUUGCUGCGGUUAAAAAGCUCGUAGUUGGAUCUGUGCCGGCUGGCCGGUCCGCCCACUGGGUGUGCACUGGUUCGGUUGGCUUUUCCGCCGGAGUGCCUGGCGUUGGUGUGCUCGCAAGGGUGUGCCAGCGCGGGUCCGGCAAGUUUACUUUGAACAAAUCAGAGUGCUUCAAACAGGCGUCUCGCCUGAAUGUUCGUGCAUGGAAUAAUAGAAGAGGAUUUCGGUCCGAUUUUAUUGGUUUUGCUGACCGAGAUAAUGGUUAACAGAGACAAACGGGGCCAUUCGUAUUGCUGCGUGAGAGGUGAAAUUCUUGGACCGUAGCAAGACGGACUACAGCGAAAGCAUUUGGCAAGAAUGUCUUCAUUAAUCAAGAACGAAAGUCAGAGGUUCGAAGGCGAUCAGAUACCGCCCUAGUUCUGACCGUAAACGAUGCCAACUAGCGAUCCGCCGGCGGAUUCAUUCGCCCUGGUGGGGAGCUUCCCGGAAACGAAAGUCUUCCGGUUCCGGGGGAAGUAUGGUUGCAAAGCUGAAACUUAAAGGAAUUGACGGAAGGGCACCACCAGGAGUGGAGCCUGCGGCUUAAUUUGACUCAACACGGGGAAACUCACCCGGCCCGGACACCGUAAGGAUUGACAGAUUGAUAGCUUUUUCAUGAUUCGGUGGAUGGUGGUGCAUGGCCGUUCUUAGUUCGUGGAGCGAUUUGUCUGGUUUAUUCCGAUAACGAGCGAGACUCUGGCCUACUAAAUAGUUGGCGCAUUGCUACUGUGCGCACAACACUUCUUAGAGGGAUUUUCGGUGUUCAGCCGCACGAAAUUGAGCAAUAACAGGUCUGUGAUGCCCUUAGAUGUCCGGGGCUGCACGCGCGCUACACUGGCAAAAUCAGCGUGCUUGUCCUUCCCCGAAAGGGGUUGGUAAACCCGUGAAAAUUUGCCGUGAUUGGGAUCGGACAUUGCAAUUAUUGUCCGUGAACGAGGAAUUCCUUGUAGGGGCGAGUCAUCAACUCGCUCUGAAUACGUCCCUGCCCUUUGUACACACCGCCCGUCGCUGCCCGGGACUGAGCCAUUUCGAGAAACUCGGGGAUUGUUGGUCUGGUUGCUUUCGGGCUGCCGUUCCGGCGAGAACCGAUUUAAUCGCAGUGGCUUGAACCGGGCAAAAGUCGUAACAAGGUAGCUGUAGGUGAACCUGCUGCUGGAUCAUUACCCACUGAUCACAAUCACCACCUACCUGGCCGUUCGCCGUUGUGGGCGCACUCUUGCCUCGCGGGCAACCCAUCGCGUUGGGGGCCUAAACGUCCGUGUUCGGUCUACGGAGGCGAAGAGUCCAGGCUGGUCUGCGUGCGGACUGGCUGCCACAGCACUGAAUGGCCGAACGCCCUGUGGGCUUGCACAUUGUGGGGUGUCUGUUUGGAUGUGGCACGGUGAGCGUACGCUUCCCUCGCGGGCAACCCAUUGCGUUGGGUGCCUAAACGUCCGUGUUCGGUCUACGGAGGCGAAGUGUCCAGGAGACCCUUUUGCGUACGGGGGAAUCCGCAUCGUGUUGCCGGACGGGCACGCCCUCAGGGCACCAAACGGCUGCGUUGGCGUCUAUGCGUGGUUGAGCAGUUGUUGUGCACUUGUGUGUUGUGCUUUGGGUUCAGCAUACCUUUGGAAACUUGCGCAUUGGUUCGCCCUCCAUCGGUGUGUCCAGAGCACAGCACCUCGUGUGCUACGUCCGUGGCUGCGAUGAGACUGCGCGACAGGGUUCGGCCAUGCGAGGCCGGGCCUAGACUUGAUGAGCCCCGAGCACGUUGGGCCGCCAACACCUCUUUUUUCACUAAA